GUCAACAUUUAGGACGAUGGAGUCAAAGGUCACAAACUGAUAGUAGGUCCACCGUCAGCGGUCGACACACCUACAGAUUUUCCCUCUGUGCAAGAAACAAGUAACCAAACGUUCAGCAUGGCUUCAAAGAAUCCGCCCAAAGCAUGGUCUGCAAGCAGAACGUCUGACUUCCAGUUCCGGUUUAGAGUUACCGUUGCAGCAAUUGCCAUCUAUUUCUUAGUUGGAUAUAAUUUCUUUCCUUUUCAAUUUCCGGUAAUGAAUUCGAUCACUGAGAGAGUAGUUUUCACGUUGCGAUGGCAACUACUCGGGGGCUUGACCUUGUUGAUGGGGAUGAUGGGGGUCAUGGCCGUUCGGGGUCAAAGCGACGCCGCGGCGGAUCCCGUGAAAGGAAAUGCGGAACAUCUGACUCAACUUCCGCAGAAUAUUCUACAGAACACACUAGAACAGUUCAUCUUUCAUUUCGUCGGACAAAUCGUCCUGUGUACCUACCUGUCUUCGGAAUCGAUGAAAGCUAUUCCGUUACUCGUUGUCCUUUUUGUCGUUGGAAGAAUCCUCUACAAAAUUGGCUACCAAAUAGAACCAAUGAAAAGGACGUUUGGUUUUGCCUCUACGUUCUUACCUACCUUGGCAACCUAUGGAUACUGUCUCUACUGCCUAGUGAUGUAUGGGCCAGGCUAUGGAUUGGGGAAGUGAUGACGUCAUCGAAUGACAGAACAUAGUGAAUGUAGAUCAUUAAAUACAUCUACUUACAGUACACUGUGUUGACAAUUAUAAGAUUAAUAAAUUAAAUAAUGAUUAAUUAACUCAUCACAAUUGUUUAAUCACGUACCGUCUGAUCUGUUUGCAUCAAGAUGAUUUUUUUUUGUUUAUUUUUGCAUCCUUAUUUUUAUGUAAUUUUUCAAAACACAUGAUGAGUGUGAUAUUCAGGCAUGGGGCAAUUACAUUUACAAUGUAAUUAUUUAAAUUACACAUUACAUUGGAAAAGUAGCAUUACCAUUACCAUAUCACUGAUAUUUAAUUAUAUGAUAUAGGAGAAUCGUUUUCAAUAUAAGAAAUACAGUUUUUGUUGUUGUAAGGUCAACUAGUUCGAAUAUUAUCCCAAACGACUGAACAAUAGUUGUGUUCAUGUUGUCCACAAGAAGCUUAUUUCUGUAUAUAACGGAUAGUAAGAUUUCUGUAUAGAUCGUGAGAUAGAGAGAGUGUAUAUUCAAUUGUUCCCAGCGCUUACUACAAACAUAAACUAUCAUCAAUGACUCUGUCUUAUGCAACUGGAAAUAAUUGGGAAUUUGAAUAGAAAAAAUCUAGACAUAACUGUUAAAUCAAACAUUCACUGUUAUCGGUAACGUUUGUUAUGCUCAACUAUCUUAACCGUUUUGCAUGGAAAUUGUCUAAAAUGUGAAAGUAGCUGCUUUAUUAUUUUUAAAAUGCUGUACCUACAUGUAUGUAACCAGAAUAAACCUUUUUUUAUGAAA